GCACCACCUUAUCAAGCAGGUGCUUGGGGUGGCAACUCUGGAGCAGGGCGGCACUUUCAGCUUCUGUGGCAGAGAUGAAUUUUAUUAUGAAGGAAGUAAAUACAAACCCAAUUCUCCAAUGCGGCACUUGUGAGUCACUGGAGGACUGAAGGACAGGGGAGGGCUGCCUAGGCUGGGCUUUAAUAAAAGAAGUGGCUGAUAGGAGCUCUCGGACAAUCUCAUCAGUCCACUUCUCAAGCACCAAAAUGCACUGAAGAAAAAUCAGUGUACUCAGUCAGUGAGUUACAUGAUGGGGUGUCAACUACUUAACAAUUGCAGUGAUACUCAGACAUCAGUGAUUCAGGAGCUGAACUAGCAAUCAACAUUACCCAUAGAGAGAGAGAGAGAGAGAG